ACAAAUAAGAAAGGUUUAUGUUUUGCAAGCUUUUGUAAAAAGAAUUAUGGCUUUCUGGAUGAAUGGUUGAAGUCAUAGUGCACUUUUCCAAUUUUGAUUUGGGUGUGCAUGGCGUUUGAUCAAUUAGCAAGACGUCCAUUGCCUUUGUUGCUGUCUUUUUGGCACAAAUAUUCACACAUAAAAGGAAUCAGAUAAUGGCAAGAACUUGGUUGGCUCAAAGAUUAAGGUUUGUUCCUUGACUAUAGUUACUUUAAGUUGUUUUAAUCAAGUACCAAUAAAGUUCUGGUUUUGAUCAACUGUUUUUGUAUUAUGUUAUAUAAGAAAAUGUGUGUUGAUCACACAUUUUGUAUAUGCAAUUCUACUAUGUGGUAAUUUUGUUGAUACAUGUUAAUAAACAUUGAAACCAGUACUCUAGCAAAUUUUGAUUUAGGGUGCUGAGAAAUAAAUAUAUCCUUCCAUAGAAUAACAUAUGGAUGGAUAACAUUUGCAGC